AAUUUUUGUUGAUCUUCUCUCUGUACAAUGGAUGUGAUGACUAGUGGGUCGUGAUGUGGAACCGUGAUCCCUACUAGGUCUUCGCUUGAGAAAUGUAUGUUUGCUAACAUUUUCAUUUUUUUAACUCCAUCCGUCCGGCUGAGGUCCUCCGCGUAUCUUUUACCUUCAAAUCCUAUUCCUCCCUUGGUUGCUUCGUCUCCUGAUAUUGCAAGUAUCUCACCAAUAUUUCUUCCUUCCAGAUCGUCCCUCGGUACACGAUGCCCUGUGGGAAUUAAUGUUGUACGUCGAGUGGGAGGAGAAGGUAGUCUCUGUUGUGAUGGUGUUAAACUUCGCACUUCUUGCCUUUUUUCGAGGGAUCUUGCUAGAACCCAACAUUCGGUCGUAGUAUAACAUAUAUCUUCAUGAUAUUCACAAUACCGAUUCACGUUCUGAUAUAUUGCUGUUUCCGUACGCACAGGGCGAGGUUCUGGAAGCACCUCUUCAUCUCUUAAUGCCAGAAAUACUUGUCGUUGAUUUGGAAGCGGGGUAACUCUUGGCGGGCCAUAACCUAAGGUGCCAUCUCUUGGGAAAGCGCCUCCUCUUGCAUUAUUCUCUGGUGCAUCUCUGUUUUGCGGUUUUGCCUCUAAUCUUGGUUGUUUUUAUUGUGUAUUAUGGUCGUAUUGGCUUCUUAGCCUUUGACAUAUCUGCUUAUGUUUCGCUUUAUGAUAAUCUUCUACAUUUGAUUUGUUAUUCGAUAUUUCCAUUGCCUCUGCAAAAGUGACCGAGGGGUCUCGUGCUAGGUCUCCUGAGAACCUAGUUGGCCUUAAUCCGUUGAUUAGGGGCCCUACUACCUCUUGCUCCUCCACACCUCGAACAUGUGGUUAUGGUGUUGUAUCAUCCAAACAAUUG
rnacentral:lncRNA from 1 species